GUGCCAGCAGCCGCGGUAAUACGGAGGGUGCGGGCGUUAUCCGGAUUUAUUAGGUUUAAAGGGUGCGCAGGCGGCCCUGCAAGUCGGCGGUGAAAUACCGUGGCCCAACCACGGGCUGCCGUCGAUACUACGGGGCUUGAGUCGCGGCGAUGCACGCGGAAUGUGGGGUGUAGCGGUGAAAUGCAUAGAUAUCCCACAGAACGCCGAUUGCGGAAGCAGCGUGCAAGCCGCGGACUGACGCUCAUGCACGAAAGCGCGGGUAGCGAACAGGAUUAGAUACCCUGGUAGUCCGCGCGGUAAACGAUGACCACCCGCCGUUCGCCCUAGUUGGGCGAGUGGCCAAGCGAAAGCGUUAAGUGGUCCACCUGGGGAGUACGGCGGCAACGCUGAAACUCAAAGGAAUUGACGGGGGCCCGCACAAGCGGAGGAACAUGUGGUUUAAUUCGAUGAUACGCGAGGAACCUUACCCGGGCUCGAACGCGGGAUGAAAGGCCGGAAACGGCCUUGCCGAGCAAUCGGAGUCCCGCGAGGUGCUGCAUGGUUGUCGUCAGCUCGUGCCGUGAGGUGUUGGCUCAAGUGCCAAAACGAGCGCAACCCCCGCCGGCAGUUCUAGCGCGCAAAGGCGAGGACUCUGCCGGGACUGCCGCCGCAAGGUGCGAGGAGGGUGGGGAUGACGUCAAAUCAGCACGGCCCUUACGUCCGGGGCGACACACGUGUUACAAUGGCCGGUACAGAGAGCAGCUUGGCCGCGAGGCCUGGCGAACCUUUAAAGCCGGUCGUAGUUCGGACUGGAGUCUGGAACCCGACUCCACGAAGCCGGAUUCGCUAGUAAUCGCGCAUCAGCCAUGGCGCGGUGAAUACGUUCCCGGGCCUUGUACACACCGCCCGU
rnacentral:rRNA from 1 species